GUAGGUGAACCUGCGGAAGGAUCAUUAUCGAAUAAACUUGAUGGGUUGUCGCUGGCUUGUAGGAGCAUGUGCACAUCCGUCAUUUUUAUCCAUCCACCUGUGCACCUUUUGUAGUCUUUGGAAGUAAUAAGCGUGAAUCUAUCAAGGUCCCUCUGGUCCUUGGAAAGAGGUGUUUGCCAUAUGGCUCGCCUUUGGUGCUCGCGAGUUACUCUAAGACUAUGUCCUUUCAUAUACUACGAAUGUAAUAGAAUGUAUUCAUUGGGUCUCAGUGCCUAUAAAACAUAUACAACUUUCAGCAACGGAUCUCUUGGCUCUC
rnacentral:misc_RNA from 1 species